GCUACGGGAGGCAGCAGUGGGGAAUAUUGCACAAUGGGCGAAAGCCUGAUGCAGCAACGCCGCGUGAAGGAAGACGGUUUUCGGAUUGUAAACUUCUAUCAAUAGGGAAGAAAGAAAUGACGGUACCUAAAUAAGAAGCGCCGGCUAACUACGUGCCAGCAGCCGCGGUAAUACGUAGGGGGCAAGCGUUAUCCGGAAUUACUGGGUGGAAAGGGAGAGUAGGUGGCAAGGUAAGCGAUAUGUGAAAGCCUUAAGGUUAACCUAAGGAUUGCAUAACGAAAUAUCUAAGUAGAGUACAGGAGAGGAAAGCGGAAUUCCUGGUGUAGCGGUGAAAUGCGUAGAUAUUAGGAAGAACACCAGUGGCGAAGGCGGCUUUCUGGACUGAAACUGACGCUGAGGCUCGAAAGCGUGGGGAGCGAACAGGAUUAGAUACCCCAGUAGUC
rnacentral:rRNA from 1 species